GAAAACAAACAUCUUACAGUUCCUUUUCACAAAUAAAGUUUGAUGGUUCUUGACAUUGAUUAUCAUUCCAGAGAUAUUUCAAAUCCUGUCUUUUGUCCAG